rnacentral:rRNA from 1 species
UACGGAGGGUGCGAGCGUUGUCCGGAAUUACUGGGCGUAAAGGGCGCGCAGGCGGCGCAUUUUGUCAGGCGUGAAAGCCCCGGGCUUAACCUGGGAACUGCGUUUGAUACGGAUGGGCUAGAGUUCGGGAGAGGGGAGUGGAAUUCCCAGUGUAGAGGUGAAAUUCGUAGAUAUUGGGAAGAACACCGGUGGCGAAGGCGGCUCUCUGGACCGAGACUGACGCUGAGGCGCGAAAGCGUGGGGAGCAAACAGG